rnacentral:rRNA from 1 species
GUAAGGAAUAUUGGACAAUGGACGCAAGUCUGAUCCAGCCAUGCCGCGUGAAGGAUUAAGGUCCUCUGGAUUGUAAACUUCUUUUAUAAGGGACGAAAAAAGGCUUUUCUAAGUCGUCUGACGGUACCUUAUGAAUAAGCACCGGCUAACUCCGUGCCAGCAGCCGCGGUAAUACGGAGGGUGCAAGCGUUAUCCGGAUUCACUGGGUUUAAAGGGUGCGUAGGCGGGCAGGUAAGUCAGUGGUGAAAUCCUAGAGCUUAACUCUAGAACUGCCAUUGAUACUAUCUGUCUUGAAUAUUGUGGAGGUAAGCGGAAUAUGUCAUGUAGCGGUGAAAUGCUUAGUUAUGACAUAGAACACCUAUUGCGAAGGCAGCUUACUACGCAUAUAUUGACGCUGAGGCACGAAAGCGUGGGGAUCAAACAGGAUUAGAUACCCGGGUAGUCC